UUAGCCACCUAUAUGAUGUCCACCUGUCUAUAUAUAUAUAUAUAUAUAUAUAUAUAUAUAUAUACAGGUGGACAUCAUAUAGGUGGCUAA
rnacentral:pre_miRNA from 1 species